AUUGAACGCUGGCGGAAUGCUUUACACAUGCAAGUCGAACGGCAGCACGGGUGCUUGCACCUGGUGGCGAGUGGCGAACGGGUGAGUAAUUUAUCGGAACGUAUCCAAUAAUGGGGGAUAACUAGCCGAAAGGUUAGCUAAUACCGCAUACGCCCUGAGGGGGAAAGCUGGGGAUCGUAAGACCUAGCGUUGAUGGAGCUGCCGAUAUCUGAUUAGCUAGUUGGUGGGGUAAGAGCCUACCAAGGCGACGAUCAGUAGCUGGUCUGAGAGGACGACAGCCCGACUGGGACUGAGACACGGUCCAGACUCCUACGGGAGGCAGCAGUGGGGAAUUUUGGACAAUGGGGGCAACCCUGAUCCAGCCAUUCCGCGUGAGUGAAGAAGGCCUUCGGGUUGUAAAGCUCUUUCGCAAGGGAAGAAAACUCGAUCUCUAAUAUAGGUUGAGGCUGACGGUACCUUGAUAAGAAGCACCGGCUAACUACGUGCCAGCAGCCGCCGUAA
rnacentral:rRNA from 1 species